GACGAACGCUGGCGGCGUGCUUAACACAUGCAAGUCGAACGGAAAGGCCCUGCUUUUGUGGGGUGCUCGAGUGGCGAACGGGUGAGUAACACGUGAGUAACCUGCCCUUUACUUUGGGAUAACUUCAGGAAACUGGGGCUAAUACCGGAUAGGAGCUCCUGCUGCAUGGUGGGGGUUGGAAAGUUUCGGCGGUCGGGGAUGGACUCGCGGCUUAUCAGCUUGUUGGUGGGGUAGUGGCUUACCAAGGCUUUGACGGGUAGCCGGCCUGAGAGGGUGACCGGCCACAUUGGGACUGAGAUACGGCCCAGACUCCUACGGGAGGCAGCAGUGGGGAAUAUUGCACAAUGGGCGGAAGCCUGAUGCAGCAACGCCGCGUGCGGGAUGACGGCCUUCGGGUUGUAAACCGCUUUCGCCUGUGACGAAGCGUGAGUGACGGUAAUGGGUAAAGAAGCACCGGCUAACUACGUG
rnacentral:rRNA from 1 species